rnacentral:rRNA from 1 species
CAAUAGCGUAUAUUAAAGUUGUUGCAGUUAAAAAGCUCGUAGUUGGAUUUCUGGGAGGGUGCCGCCGUCCGGCGUGUCCGUGUGCAGUGGCGCCCUUCCAUCCUUCUGUUAGCGUCUCUCGGCAUUCAUUUGCUGGUGGCGGGCUCAGAUAUUUUACCUUGAGAAAAUUAGAGUGUUUCAGGCAGGCUAGGCCGGAAUACAUUAGCAUGGAAUAAUGGAAUAGGACUACGGUCUCUUUGUUGGUUUGAGGGACUGCAGUAAUGAUUAAUAGGGAUAGUUGGGGGCAUUAGUAUUUAAUUGUCAGAGGUGGAAUUCUCAGAUUUGUUAAAGACUAACUUAUGCGAAAGCAUUUGCCAAGGAUGUUUUCAUUAA